UCCGGCUUAACGCCGGCAGUCCCCCCAGAGUCCCCGGCCGAACCGCUGGCAACUGGGAGCGAGAGUUGCGCUCGUUGCGGGACUUAACCCAACAUCUCACGACACGAGCUGACGACAGCCAUGCAGCACCUGUCUCCAGGUUCCCGAAGGCACCCCCACAUCUCUGCAGGGUUCCUGGGAUGUCAAGACCAGGUAAGGUUCUUCGCGUUGCCUCGAAUUAAACCACAUGCUCCACCGCUUGUGCGGGUCCCCGUCAAUUCCUUUGUGUUUCAGUCUUGCGACCGUACUCCCCAGGCGGAAUGCUUAAAGCGUUAGCGACGGCACCCGGGGACUAUAUAACCCCAGACACCAAGCAUUCAUCGUUUAAGGCUAGGACUA
rnacentral:misc_RNA from 1 species